GACGAACGCUGGCGGCGUGCUUAACACAUGCAAGUCGAACGGAAAGGCCCUGCUUUUGUGGGGUGCUCGAGUGGCGAACGGGUGAGUAACACGUGAGUAACCUGCCCUUGACUUUGGGAUAACUUCAGGAAACUGGGGCUAAUACCGGAUAUGAUCUCCUGCUGCAUGGUGGGGGUUGGAAAGUUUCGGCGGUUGGGGCUGGACUCGCGGCUUAUCAGCUGGUUGGGGUGGUAGUGGCUUACCAAGGCUUUGACGGGUAGCCGGCCUGAGAGGGUGACCGGCCACAUUGGGACUGAGAUACGGACCAGACUCGUACGGGAGGCAGCAGUGGGGAAUAUUGCACAAUGGGCGGAAGCCUGAUGCAGCAACGCCGCGUGCGGGAUGACGGCCUUCGGGUUGUAAACCGCUUUCGCCUGUGACGAAGAGUGAGUGACGGUAAUGGGUAAAGAAGCACCGGCUAACUACGUG
rnacentral:rRNA from 1 species